rnacentral:rRNA from 1 species
GACGAACGCUGGCGGCGUGCCUAAUACAUGCAAGUAGAACGCUGAAGGAGGAGCUUGCUUCUCUGGAUGAGUUGCGAACGGGUGAGUAACGCGUAGGUAACCUGCCUGGUAGCGGGGGAUAACUAUUGGAAACGAUAGCUAAUACCGCAUAAUAGCAGUUGUUGCAUGACAACUGUUUGAAAGGUGCAAUUGCACCACUACCAGAUGGACCUGCGUUGUAUUAGCUAGUUGGUGGGGUAACGGCUCACCAAGGCGACGAUACAUAGCCGACCUGAGAGGGUGAUCGGCCACACUGGGACUGAGACACGGCCCAGACUCCUACGGGAGGCAGCAGUAGGGAAUCUUCGGCAAUGGACGGAAGUCUGACCGAGCAACGCCGCGUGAGUGAAGAAGGUUUUCGGAUCGUAAAGCUCUGUUGUAAGAGAAGAACGAGUGUGAGAGUGGAAAGUUCACACUGUGACGGUAUCUUACCAGAAAGGGACGGCUAACUACGUGC